GCCGCCGCCAUGCGCCGCCCCGGGCCCGCCUGCUGCGCGCUGCUGCUAGUCCUGGGGCUCUGCCGGGCGCGCCCCCGGAACGCACUGCUGCUCCUCGCGGAUGACGGAGGCUUUGAGAGUGGCGCGUACAACAACAGCGCCAUCGCCACCCCGCACCUGGAUGCCUUGGCCCGCCGCAGCCUCCUCUUCCGCAACGCCUUCACCUCGGUCAGCAGCUGCUCUCCCAGCCGCGCCAGCCUCCUCACUGGCCUGCCCCAGCAUCAGAAUGGGAUGUACGGGCUGCACCAGGACGUGCACCACUUCAACUCCUUCGACAAGGUGCGGAGCCUGCCGCUGCUGCUCAGCCAAGCUGGUGUGCGCACAGGCAUCAUUGGGAAGAAGCACGUAGGGCCAGAGACUGUGUACCCGUUUGACUUUGCGUACACGGAGGAGAAUGGCUCCGUCCUCCAGGUGGGGCGGAACAUCACUAGAAUUAAGCUGCUCGUCCGGAAAUUCCUGCAGACUCAGGACGACCGGUCUUUCUUCCUCUAUGUCGCCUUCCACGACCCCCACCGCUGUGGGCACUCCCAGCCCCAGUACGGAACCUUCUGUGAGAAGUUUGGCAACGGAAAGAGCGGCAUGGGCCGUAUCCCAGACUGGACCCCCCAGGCCUACGACCCACUGGACGUGCUGGUAGGACGGCCCCUCCCACGUUUCAGGACUCCCGUCAGCCAUGGGUCCGGGACCCUGGCCUCCUGUGAGCUUGCAGCCCUGGCCCUAGAUGAUGAAGAAAGACGCUCUGACCAAAUCGGAUUCAGGUUCCCAUCCUCAGGGCCACAGAGAGAAGCGUAGACAGACGGGGUGGUCCAGAGUGAGGCUGUUCUGGGCUAAUCCAUUUGCAGGAGGCCCCGGGGAGAAAGCUGGACACCGCUCCCCCAGUCCGUCUGUUCUAAGCCUGGCUCCCCACCGCCUGCCCCAGGUGCCUUACUUCGUCCCCAACACCCCGGCAGCCCGAGCCGACCUGGCCGCUCAGUACACCACCAUCGGCCGCAUGGACCAAGGUGGGCUUGCAGAACCGGGCACUGGAGGGGGUGCCAUGGCCUGGGUCCCCCGUCCUGGGCCAGCACCCUCUCAGGUCACAGCAGAGUGUGGGUGAGGGUCCCAGUGUGGCAGGCCCUGUGCUGCAGCUGGCAGAGCCCACAAUGAGAGGAGGGGCCUGUGGGUGGCAUCAGGACCCACCCCCGGGGCUGCCCUGAUGUGGACCUGCUCCUGGGCUGGGGCCUUUGGGUGCCCCAGAGGUUGCGUGAAGACUUCAGAUACUUCCAGCCACAGGACCUGGGUCAGAUUUGGGGGUUUGGAGUUCCUUAGCAUAUGCAGAUGGAGAACUUGAGGUGUGUGAGUUUUUUGCGGUUGAUGGCUUACAGCGACCAAAAUUUGUACUCUCACAGUUCAGGAGGCCAGAAGUUUGAAAUCAAGGUGUCAGCAGGGCCACGCUCCCCUGAAGGUUUAUGGGAGACCCUGCCUUUCCUCUUCCAGCUUCUGGGGACUGCGCCAGUGCUGGGCAUUCCUGGGCUGGAGGCAGCAUCGCCCCCAUCCCCACUGAGGCCUUCACACGGCCUUUUUUACUUUUUUCCUGUGUCUCCUCUUCUGUCUGUGUCUCCACUUCUUCUUUUUUUUUUUUUUUUUUUGAGACCAAGUCUCGCCCUGUCACCCAGGCGGGAGUGCAGUGGGGUAAUCUCGGCUCACUACAACCACCGCCUCCCAGGUUCAAGCGAUUCUUCUGUCUCAGCCUCCAGAGUAGCUAGGACUGCAAUCACACGCCACCACGCCCAACUAAUUUUUAUAUUUUUAGUAGACAUGGGAUUUCACCAUAUUGGCCAGGCUGGUCUUGAACUGCUGACCUCGUGAUCCGCCCGCCUCAGCCUCCCAAAGUGCUGGGAUUACAGGCGUGAGGCACUGCGCCCGGCCUGUUUCCGCUUCUUAUAAGGACCCCGUCGGGUUUAGGGCCUACCUGAGCACUUCAGGAUGAUUUUGUCCCAGGAUCUUUAUUUGCGAAGUUCCCCUUUCCAAACAAGGCCCCCUUCACAGAUUCCAGCACACAUGUCUUUUGGGGUCAGGGGUCACCAUUUAACCCAUGACAGGAGGUCGGGACCUUUGCCAUUUCCCUGUUGGUGCCGUGAAUUCUUAGUGAGCUGGGAAGGAGUGGGUAUAGAGGAAGCCUUGUCUUCUGGCCCCUGCCCUAUUUGCUCCAUGGGACAGACACGAGAUUCUGAAGAACUCAGAAGGUGGCGGGCACCAGGGAGCAGCUGCCUGAGGGUGACACAGAAGUGCCAAGGGAUGGCUGGAGUCCCUGGAGGCCCAUUCGAGGCCUGCUCAGGGAAUGGGAGCUGGACGGAGCUGGGCAAGAGCUGGGCAAGAGCCAGGGCCAUUGGGAAGAACUACAGGGUGCUUUCAAAUCCGGAAAGCGCUGGAGCCCAGCGGCCGGAUGAAGCAGCGGGUGGGUCUGCACACACCCGCUGCCUCCCUGCGUGUCUGCGGCUGAGCUCUGCUUCCCGGCCCCUCACCACAGGAGUUGGACUGGUGCUCCAGGAGCUGCGUGACGCCGGUAUCCUGAACGACACACUGGUGAUCUUCACGUCCGACAACGGGAUCCCCUUCCCCAGCGGCAGGACCAACCUGUACUGGCCGGGCACUGCUGAACCCUUACUGGUGUCAUCCCCGGAGCACCCAAAACGCUGGGGCCAAGUCAGCGAGGCCUACGUGAGCCUCCUAGGUAUGCCUCUGUCUGUCUCCAUCAGGGAAGGGGUGGGAGUGGAUCUGGGACGGUGCCACGACCUGUCAGAUGCUGCUCCACACCCGUUACCUAAUGUGGCUCUCAUAUCAUCUGGGUGAGGAAGGGACUGUCACUCCCACUCUACAGAGGAAAAGAAUGAGGCUCAGAGAGGUGAAGUAAGCUGCUCAGGAUUGCACAGCUGGUAAGCACUAAGCUAGGAUUCUCGCUUGGAUGCUGCUGCUUUCAAAACCAUUGCCUUUUCCCCGCCUACCUCCGAUGAGCUUCAGAAUCACCUGGGAUGCUUGUUAAUAUCCAAAUUGCAAACCCCAGGGUGUCCAAUUCAGUAGAUCCUGGUGGGCUCAAGAAUUUGCAUGUCUGACAAGUUCCCAGGUGAUGCCGAUACUGUGGGCCUGGGGACCCCUCUCUGAGCAUCUGUGCACCCCAUCCUGCCUUCCUGGGGGACCCAAAGCACCUCAUGACCCUGCUCAUUUCUAAAAAGACCUAGGACAUCUAGUCCCAUGUUAUGGACGUGCAGACAAAGACAUGGGUGCAGGAAGACUUUGUGAGGGGCUCGGGGUGAGCCCUUUGGCACAGGGCAGAGGCUCGAGUGUCCUGCCCACUGCCUGGCAGAGCCUCCAGGUGGGAUGGGCCUGGGACAGCAGCAAACUCAGGUUCCCUUUCCCUCCGAGCUUGCGGCCCACAUCUCUCUCUGGCCCCAAAUUAUGAGCCAGGAGCACUGUGGCCACACCCACCCCAGGGCUGGAGUAGAUGAGCUACCGAAAAGGAGACUUCUUUUCUGGUCCAUAGGAUUUUAGAAGGAUCCUAAAUGUCACCAAAUCAGGGCCUCUUGUUAUACCAUUCAAGGCACCAUGGCCUAGAGAGAUGACGCGGCGGUGAGAGGUGUCGGCUCGACAAGGCACCUCCCGCUGCUGAUUGGAUUGGAGAAGGUAGCCACCCAGAGUGGCGUAGGUUCGGCCCUUCCGAGGGCAGCUCCUGUGUGCUGAGGGCUCUGCUGCUCUGAGAUACCGCAUCCCUUCCAGACCUCACGCCCACCAUCUUGGAUUGGUUCUCCAUCCCGUACCCCAGCUACGCCAUCUUUGGCUCGAAGACCGUCCACCUCACUGGCCGGUCCCUCUUGCCGGCGCUGGAGGCCGAGCCCCUCUGGGCCACCGUCUUUGGCAGCCAGAGCCACCACGAAGUCACCAUGUCCUACCCCAUGCGCUCCGUGCAGCACUGGAACUUCCGCCUCGUGCACAACCUCAACUUCAAGAUGCCCUUUCCCAUCGACCAGGACUUCUACAUCUCACCCACCUUCCAGGACCUCCUGAACCGCACCACAGCUGGUCAGCCCACGGGCUGGUACAAGGACCUCCAUCAUUACUACUACCGGGCGCGCUGGGAGCUCUACGACCAGAGCCAGGACCCCCACGAGACCCAGAACCUGGCCACCGACCCGCGCUUUGCCCAGGUUCUGGAGAUGCUUCGGGCCCAGCUGGCCAAGUGGCAGUGGGAGACCCAUGACCCCUGGGUGUGUGCCCCUGACGGCGUCCUGGAGGAGAAGCUCUCUCCCCAGUGCCAGCCCCUCCACAAUGAGCUGUGACCAUCCUAGGAGGCCUUUGCAAACAUCCCAGACAUGUCCCAGACACAUCCUACACAUGUCCGUGUGGCCGGCAGACUGGGGAGUAGUGACAACAGCCCUUCCGUCCGCACUCCUGUCCAAGGAGGGUUCUUCCUUCCUGUGGGGUCACUCCUGCCAUUGCCUGGAGGGGGACCAGAGCAGGGGACCAGAGCAUGGGACCAGAGCAUGUGCCCAGCCCCUCCUCCACCAGGGGCACUGCCGUCAUGGCAGGGGACACAGCUGUCCUUGUGUCUGAACCAUGUCCCGGCACGGGAAUUCUAGACAUAUGUGGUCUGCGGACAGGGCAGCACCCCCAGCCCAUGACAAGGGAGUCCUGUUUUCUGGCUUGGUUUGGGGACCUGCAAAUGGGAGGCCUGAGGCCCUCUUCAGGCUUCAGCAGCCACAGAUACUUCUGAGUCCUUCACAGAGAGCAGGCAGGGGCUUCGGUGCCACGUGGGCAGUACGCAGGUCCCAGCCACGCUCACCUGGGAGCACAGCGCCUGGCUCUUACCAGCGUCUGGCCUAGAGGAAGCCUUUGCGCGACCUUUGGGCAGGUUUCUGCUGCUUCUGUUUUGCCCCACCGUCAAGUCCCUGUUCCCCAGGCGGGUUUCAGCUGAUUGGCGGCAGGCUCCCUGAGUAAUGAGCUUGAACCCGUGGUGUUUCUGGGCAGAGGCUUAUCUUUUUUGUGAGUGUCCAAAGAUGAAGGCAUGGCGAUGCCCGUCCUCUGGCUUGGGUUAAUUCUUCGGUGACGUCGGCGUUGCUGGGAGAAUGCGCCAUUCCUGCCCUGCCUCCACCCACCUCGGGAGCAGAAGCCUGGCCUGGACACCCCUCGAAGGAGAGGGCGCUUCCUUGAGUAUGUGGGCUCCCUUUGCCCUUCCCUCCCCAUCACUCCAUACUGGGGUGGGCUGGAGGAAGCCACAGGCCAGCUAUUGUAAAAGCUUUUUAUUUUAGUAAAAUAUACAGAAGUUCUUUUUCUG
rnacentral:sRNA from 1 species